UACGUAGGGUCCGAGCGUUGUCCGGAAUUAUUGGGCGUAAAGAGCUCGUAGGCGGUUUGUCGCGUCUGCUGUGAAAUCUAGAGGCUCAACCUCUAGCCUGCAGUGGGUACGGGCAGACUUGAGUGGUGUAGGGGAGACUGGAAUUCCUGGUGUAGCGGUGGAAUGCGCAGAUAUCAGGAGGAACACCGAUGGCGAAGGCAGGUCUCUGGGCACUUACUGACGCUGAGGAGCGAAAGCGUGGGGAGCGAACAGG
rnacentral:rRNA from 1 species